GGAAGCAGUAACAGCAGCAGAGGAAGAGGAAGAGGAUGGAUGAUGAACUUUCCCAUUCAGCCAAUCGGCUCUUAAUUAUGUGUACUGUUAUUUGAUACCCCUCCGUCUCAAAAUAAGUGUCUUAAACUUAAUACAACUUUAUACUAGAGCUAGUGUAAAGUUGAGACAGUUAUUUUGGGACGGAGGGAGUAGUAGCUAGGAUGAAGUGUAGUUUGUUUCAUAGCUAGGAGUGAUCCUCUUAAGAUCGUGUGUGGUAGGGUCACCACUAGUGCGAAGUGGUGAGAGCACCUAAUCCAGGUUGCAACCAAACAGCGUGUCCUAUGUGCGCCUAAUGCAAUGCGACCAACCAAACAUCGGGACAAAAUUAGUUCCUUCAUGCAGCUAACCUAUAUGCGGGCAACCAAUCGAUGUGUAGAUGGUGGUUUUGAGGCUGUUUUUCCUCAACCGGGCCCAUCUGAAAAGUCUAUGCAAACACCCCAAAAUUGGUGCAGGCAACCAAACGCACCCUAAUAAUACUAAAGUAAAGAUAUAAAACAUUACCCGGAUUAGUUAGCCAGCCAAAUGGAAGCAUGUCAAGUCUGGCCAGGAUUUUCCUAGUAAUCCGGUGGCCCCGGUCUUAUUUGCAGCAGCCAAGGCACUGUGUGCAAUAUGCAAACUACUAAGAUUUUAUUUACUAGAGAAUAUCAAAUAAAAUCUGAAUACAGAAAUAAGGGGUAUAUAAUGGAUAUAUAGUGAUUAUCUGUUUUGAAAUAAAAACUAAAUACAGAAAUAAGGAGUAUGUGAUGGAUAUAUAGAGAUUAUCUGUUUUGAUUUACCUUGACACAGUAAAAUGUGAACAAAGAUCUUUCCAGUUGUCCCAAUCAUCUCCUGUCAUCCUAUAAGUACAUAUCAACAUGCUCACUGAUGCUUUCAGCUAAUUGUGCAGUGACUUUAGUAGUUCAGUUCCUCCUGAGAUGGAUAGUACUAUUGGGCGAUCAAGCUCUCGCUGGAGCUGCAAUUGAGAAUUAACUUAUUCUGAAGGUGCACCAAUUUCAACGAGACUUGUGUAACUGACUCUAGGAUCUGAAGUUAUUUACCUGAGAAACAGUGAUUACUUCUUCCCGGCUAUAAUCAUUAUCGAAGAUACAGUCAACCUUCACUGCAAGAGUGGUACAUAGUAUGAAACAACCUCUUCAAACUCAAGUUAUGGCAACACUUAGGAAAGGUCAACUAUUCCCAAGUUGGGAGCUCUCUACCAUAUCAUAUUAUCAUCAAGGCUUUUUACAGUGCCCUGGUACUCCAUAUCAUAUUAUCAUCGAGGCUUUUUACAGUACCCUAGUACGUUAGACUUUUGUCUCCCUCAUUUAGGGGUAACUAAUUUUAAUGCAUCAUCUGGGCUUACUUUCUCCUGAUUUACCAAUCAGGCGCAAACGGUUGCUUCCCUCAUAUUGCGUAGUCAUGGCUGCCUCAUCUCCUCCUGCUUUAUCUGCAGCCAGUUCCACAACCAUGAAAACAUGGUGCCUCGGCCGCCGGCGCUGGCCUCCCGAGUCCCGAUCCUCCCUCUUAUUCCAAUCCUUGGACGGGCCAUGCAAAAUAUCCCAUUUCCCCAGUUUUGGCCCACAAAAUCUUCUGUUGUAUGCCCCACCUCGUCGGAACUUCUGUAAAGUCUCCGGUAAUGUAUCAUUCUGAACUUUCAACAACCUUCUGAAAUCUGAAGUGUUGUAAGCCUUACAUUUUUAACAAAGCUUCACAGUAAUUAUGUGCUUGUACAUGGAAACUGCAAUAUUUUAAUGCAUCUUUCAUAAAGCUUGGGUUGAAUUGAUUAGUCGAGUAGUAGUGUGCAUGCUCAUCUUAUCAAUCUUCACCAAAGAAUCCAUGGAAGGGGACUUUCCACUAUGCCAGAAUGCUGCUCUUCGUUGCAGUAAUGUACGGAGUAUCAUCCUGAACCUUCCAGAGCAGCGCUGGCAAAUAAGUUCAGUAUGCUAUUAUACGGCAGUCUGUAGAAUCAAAAUAUAGUCUGUGACACUGGCGUAGCAAUGUAGUAUUAUGAAGUCGGUGUGAUGCUGGAUUCCUGGUCCUUGUGGACAAGAACCUCAAUUGCACUCUCAGUUGCAACUAAGAUCUGCAUCUGCGCAACCCCUUGCAUGGCACUAUUUCUCUAAAUUUGGUUCAUACUGUCCACUUCCUUUCUCAGCAAUCAGUUUCAGAUCCACAUGCUCCUGAUUUGCUUAAACGCAUCACAAGAUUCCCAGAAGUACAAAGUUUGCGUUUUUACUACUCAAGAAUCAAGAUACAUACUUGUAUUUGUUCAGAGUUGGGGAAACAUACAGAAGUGUCUCGAAUAUUCGUGAAGAUACCUACCUAUUCUAGUACUAAUAUCUCCUGCGGGACCUAUUAUUGUGAAAUCGGGCGGUCUCCCAUCUAUGCCAAAAAGAAAAGAGGAGGGAGAGACAUACCGAUCUUGGUCACUGUCUGGUGCUAGAUAUUGCCAAGCCACAUUUGCUAUUCCUUUGCCGUUAAGGGAUGCGCAUUUAUCGACUCCCAAAAAGCAGAGUGAUCACAAUCAUUCAAAAGAAAAGAAAAAAAAGGCGAAAAUACAACCUUUUUUUUUGAAAAGGAGGUUAUCCCCGGCCUCUGCAUCAGAACGAUGCAUGCGGCCACUUUAUUAGAAAGGAAAUAGUUCAAUGAAGUCUCCAAGUGUCAAGAAAUACAACCCUGAACUAGGGAGUGUUGCAUUCUGCGACUCCCUGUGGACAAGAACCUCAACUGUACUCCAGUUGCAACUAAGAACUGAAUCUGUGACUUACAUUCUGGCAACAGCUACAUGGCGCCAUUUUCUAAAUUCGGCAUACUUGAUAUUUCUAUGAUGAUACUAUUCUUUUUACUCGCUUUCAGUUUUGUGGACUAUCGGGAGUACCAAGUUUGCUUUGUAUCGUGUAGAAAGUCGUGACCGACCACCAUUUCAGAGUUGGGGAGUGGAACAGUCUUGAAUUUUCCUGAAGACACCUACAUGUUCUAAUAUUGUCCACAGGCCUACUAUUGUGACAUCGGGCGAUCUCCCGUCUAUCCAUGACAAGAAGAAAAAAAGGAGGGAGAGACAUUGUGAUCUUAGUCAUUGUCUGAUGCUAGAUAUUGCCAAGCCAAAUUUGCUAUUCCUUUGCCGUUAAGAGAUCUACGCAUUUAUCGAUUCACAAAAAAAGCAGAGUCGUCACAUUCAUUCAAAAGAAAAGGCAAAGACACAAUCCGGUAGUACAUUAUCACCCCACCCUGAACUACGGGGCAGCAUCAUCAUCUCUUCUCAGUAACUCGGGGUGUUGGGCUAGCUCGACAGCCACCGUGUUGCAAUCUCCCUGGAUGUAAAGCACGCCUCCUCCUGGAAGUAAAAGCAUAUCCAUGACUGUUCCAGCCACCGAAACGAUCGAUCUGCGUCUUGCCUUGUCCUGAGUUGUAGCUGUCAGGGUAGGCGGAAACCGCGGCGCAGUGCGUGUCCAACGUCAAAGGCUUUUGAAUUCCUCCCUUACACAUGCUCUUGUUUCUGGCGCGGCGCUACUACUGCCAUGGCUUUUCAGUUCCUGAUGAUGCCUGUGGCCUGUGGUUGAUCGCCCAUGGGCGCUCUUGCCUGCUGCCACGCUUACUGUUUCUGGAGCUGCUCGUCUCGAGAGAGGAAAGAGGAGGGGAAGUUUAUCCACAAUUCAACCACCUCUGAUGGAUAACGAAGAGGAACCUUUUGACGGCGGAAAGAGGCAGAGGCCAUAUGGAACUCGCGCCAAUUCGCAUGGUGGACGAGGGAGCCCACCACCGGUCGGCACUGUCUGUCAACAACUUCCGCGAACCGGCCCGGUACGGCGGACGUAGGCGGCGACUUUCCGAGUCACCGCUGCCAACUUUCGCGUCGGAGAAGAAGCCUUUACCCGACUUUUGAGUCGGAACACCACUUCCUUCCCACUGCCUGCUUUUCUUCCUUCCCUUCCAGCAGACGUAAAGGAGCCGAGGACCUACGCACUGGUGGAAUGGAAGCAGCAGGUCUUUAUGCACGAUGGCUACGUCGCCGUAUACUAUUUGCACGCUGGAAUUGUAUUCUCUGAUUUCUCACGUUGAACAUCGUUGUUGCUCGAUCGAUAUAUAGUGUUUGACUCCUGCGCUUUCUUAUUCUUA